UACGGAGGGCGCGAGCGUUACCCGGAUUUACUGGGCGUAAAGGGCGUGUAGGCGGCCUGAGGCGUCGCAUGUGAAAGGCCAGGGCUCAACCGUGGAGGAGCGUGCGAUACGCUCUGGCUAGACGGUGGGAGAGGGUGGUGGAAUUCCCGGAGUAGCGGUGAAAUGCGCAGAUACCGGGAGGAACGCCGAUGGCGAAGGCAGCCACCUGGCCCACAUGUGACGCUGAGGCGCGAAAGCGUGGGGAGCAAACCGG
rnacentral:rRNA from 1 species